rnacentral:misc_RNA from 1 species
CAGUCUUCACCGCCACCAUCAUCACGCCAUCGACGAAGCAAUUGCUCUUGUUUUAACUUACUUUUCCCGUUUAGAAACCAAGAAUCCAUCCAACCUAUCAGAGCUUAUAUUCUCGUCCUUCUGCACCGAUUCGGAAGUUGAUAAUUUCACGUAUAAAAAUAAUGUCAGCUAGGUUGCUGAAGAAAGUCUUGAAAGAACAGGAGCGCCAGCUGCAGCACCACGAAGUAGAAGAGGAAGCAGAAUCUUCUGAUUCGUCCAGUCUCCCUGCCAUAAAUCCUUUCGACCUCCUUAACGACGAUGACUCUGAUCAGGAGAAUGAGUCAGAAAUUACUGAUGAAUCCUUGAUGGGAAACAAUUACAAACAAGAACCCUCUGCGACGGAAAGCUUGGCUAGUGUAGUGUCAUCAUCCAGUCAGAAAUCCAAGAAAAAGAAGAAGAAGAAAAACAAGGCAGCCCCAUCUUCAAGUACAAAUAAAGGUGAAAAACUAUUGGAUGAUGCACUAGAAACUGUGUCCUUGGAUGUUAAUUCUUCAAGAAAUCAACCUGACCCUGUCAAAACCGGACUAGAAAAUGCAAAACUUCGUGAAGAGUUUACUAAGCAAUGUGCGCCAUCCAUCCUACAAGUGGAUCCCAAAUGUCUAAAUCCUGAGAACGAGUUGCGAAGAAUUUUUGGUUCUAAGGUGGUGAAAUCUUUUGUGAGAAGUAAUCAAGCCAGCAGUUCUAGGCAGGUUCGUGGGGCAAGACGUGGAAGCCAUCAUACCAGAAAGACUAUUCUAGUCUCUCCAUCAGAACAUUGGCCUCGCUGGGAUGGAUCUCUAUCUAUGGAAUUUUUGGAGACUAGGGAUGGAUAUCAUCAUUUUAGGUAUGUGCGCUCAUUUUCCUAUGAUCAAGCUCAAAGAGCAUUUGAAGCUGCCAAAGCUAUUCAUGAUCUAAAUGGCAUAGCAAGCAUUUUGUUAUACAACCCAUAUCAUUUAGAUUCACUUAUAACAAUGGCAGACUAUUUCAAAUUUGUGGGUGAACAUCAAAUGUCAGCUGAUGCUAUUGCAAAGAGUUUGUACGCCUUGGAAUGUGCAUGGCAUCCCAUGUUCACCCUCUUGCAAGGCAAUUGCCAGUUGAAGAUCAGCCAUGAAACAAACAAGCCAAUAUUCACAACACUUUUCACUCACAUGAAAAACAUGGAUAGGCGUGGAUGCCAUCGAUCUGCUCUUGAAGUAUGCAAAUUAUUGCUUUCACUGGAUUUAGAUGAUCCAAUGGGGGCGUUGUUCUGUAUUGACUACUUUAGUUUGAGGGCAGAGGAGUAUGCAUGGUUGGAACGAUUUUCAGAAGACUAUAAAGGUGAUAAUUCCUUAUGGUUGUUUCCAAAUUUCUCAUAUUCCCUUGCAAUAUGCCGACUUUAUCUUGAGCGAGAGGAACCUGCAAAGGAUACUUCUGUGCUUGCUACAAAGUCUACUUCAGUAGAUUUGAUGAAGCAGGCAUUGAUGCUUCACCCUUCUGUUCUUAAAAAGCUUGUAGACAAGGUACCUUUAAAAGAUCAGGCAUGGGCCAAUAUGCUAAAGCAUGCUUUUUUUAGAUCAGAGAAAACGGGGUCCCCAUCUUUGGACCAUCUUAUCAAUAUAUACAUAGAGAGAAGUUAUAUCAUAUGGAGGCUUCCAGAUUUGCAGAAGUUGCUUCGUGAUGCAGCUUUGCAAGUAAUUGAAACUCUAGAACAUAAAAGCAGUGAAGCUAGGGAUUGGGCUUGUGUGCGAAAAGAGGCUUUCUCAUCUGAGAACAAUGAGUAUAGCCAUUUGCUGGUUUCAGAUUUUUCUGAUACUGUACCAACUCUUCCACCGGAGAACCUGCAAAAUUUCAUGGUUGAUCCAAGGCUGAGGGAAGCUGAGCAAAAUGGAGGCCAAAUUGCCAAUCUACCUGCUGGUGGUCCUGCUCCACGUGAUGUUGCAAAUCGCCAUGCAUUGGCUGUUUUGUUCGAGUCAAUGUUGCCAUGGGUUCACUAUGGGGCUGGAGAAGAUGUAGGAGCCAAUGUAGAGAACCAAGUUAAUGGACAUGACCAAAGGAACGAGGACUGAAUUAGCAAUUUAAUGUGCUUGCUCUAGCAGAUGGGAAAUGAGGCAGGAGGGAACUUUGGCUUUUCUUACAUUAUGUUGAUAUCAUCCAUAUGUAGAUAUUUUCUUUUUGCUGGAGUCAGCAAGUUGAAAAUUGCUGCACUAUGAUGAGAACAUAACAAAUCUAUUCUUAAUACAUCACUGAUACGGAUAAAUUCCCUUUCUACUGCUGAAUUCAAACUGCAUGUUAAGAGGUACUUCGAUUCCAGCAAAAUUGUUCUAUGAAUUCGUUAUGUUAAAAAUAAUAAUAAUAAUAAUAACA